GUGGUAACAGACUAUCGCACCGGACCGCGACCUUGGUGCGGUGCGGAGCAUUUAUCGAUAGUCUGUAAGCUUCCAUCGCACAUAAUUAUUAUUAAUAGCGGUGCGGUGGGCAUGCACGUCGCACCAACUGACAGGUAAUAAUAAUACUGGUGCGCUCCGCACCAAUUUCCAUAGUGUGUAAGCUGCGUCGCACCGUUUGACAGCGGGGCUACCGCGAACUACAUUCGACGUCUAACCUCUCUGUCGCACUUAUAAAUUCGUACGUAAGUGUGACAGGGAGACAACACGUCGAAAGUGGUUCGCGGUAGACCCUCGGCUUUCAUUUUCAGUGGAAUGUUAAAAUACUACUAUGACGGGAGUACAGCGAUUUUUCUUGCUAGGUUUAUAAUUAAUUUUGUUGAUAUUCUCUACCUUUCACCAUUCACACUGACUCUGGCAAAGGCCCUAAAGGCUGCCAUUUCUCUAAUAUAAUAUAUAUAUAUAUCAUGUGAUCAACAUGGAGCCCGAGAUCAUAGGUGACGCGGAAAGACAAUCCAUCAUUGAAAUCUUGGAAUUGUAUAAAGAUUUCCCAUGGUUAUGGGACUUAAACCACGCCAAAUAUUUUGAUAAGGACGCUCGCUCGCAAUCAUUCGAAGUCCUUUUAGAGUGCUACCAAAAAUACUUUCCCAAUACAACGGUCACCGAUAUCAGGAAAAAAAUUGAAUACUUAAGAUCAUGUUACCGGCGGGAGCGAAAAAAGGUGGAGUCCAGCAAGACUACAGGAGCUGGCUCAACGGAAAUAUACCAACCGAAUCUCUGGUACUACCCAUAUUUAAAUUUUCUGCAGGAAAAAACGGUUCCAACCACAGUUCCAGUUGACAACUUUCCAACAAAGGAUGUUGAGGUAAACAUAGGUAAACAUUUCUAGAGUCACCAGAAUCUACAUCCCAGCUUUUGACACACACAGUGCCUUCUCCGUAUCUGUUAUCCCCUCCUAACCAAACUCCCUUCCUACCUGCCUGUCCUUCCCAAGUGCCGCAACAACCAUCAACAACAUCUUCAUCAUCGCAAAAAUAUUUUCCUCCGUCAUCACCCCAGCAAUCCCAACAUCCAUCACGAUCACCAGAAUCUACAUCCCAACUUUUGACAGCGCCUUCGCCGUCUCUGUUAUCCCCUCCUAACCAAACCCCCUUCGUCCCAGCUUGUCCUUCCCAAGUGCCGCAACAACCAUCAACGCAGCCUCUAUCAUCAUUACCUCAUAGGAGUAUUAUUCUCCAAAAAAAUAAUAUAUUCAGAGGAGAGUUAAAAGACUUAAACAAAUUUGUGAUAUUAAAAAAAUAGCCUCAUAAGAUAUGUUAAGAAAAAUAAUCAGAGGAGAAUUAAAAGACUAAUAAAUAAUUAAAAAUGUAUCUGAUUUUAGAAUAAGGAGAUAUCUCAAGGAGAUAUUAUAAAAUAUAUAUUCAGAGAGAGAUUCAAUCAAAGCCUUUAAUAAAUAUCUGACUAAAAAUAUUGUCUCUUGACACAUAGGUAUGUAAUAUAUGUAAAUGUAUGAGUAUAUUCUGACCAUCCUAAAUUUUCAUUCCAAGUUACUUAUCAAGUAUGGAUAGCUUAUAGGGAUGUGUAUGCAUUCUUAUUGCAACGUUUGUGCAUAGUUAGUGUAGUCAGAGUCUACUCAGAGGCGAAUCAAAAAAAGACAAUUAAAGAUCAGAUUUUUAUAAAAUAGCCCCUUGAGAUAAUAUAUUAUGUUAGGUAACUAUAUGGGACAGUAAGCUGCAGAGGCUACCUUUUCUCUGCAGCUUACUGUACUAUUUACACUUUUAAUUUUCAAGUCCAGUCAACCUAUUUGAUUUCGGUACCCCUUCAUAAUGUGGCAAGUUAUGAAGUGGCCCCGAAAUCAAAUUGGUUGACUGCACAGUUUUCACAUUUUGUAACUAUUAUUUGGAAAGGGUCUAGUGAUCCUACAAAUGUUAGCCAGUUUAGUGAGUCAUGGGGAGUCUGUAUUUUACUGACACUAAUAUUAUUGUUAUAAAUAAGUAUAAGUAACAUAUAUUUCUUCCCUUUAAUACUGCCAAAAUUGGUGUGACAGAGAGGUGACUGAUAAUAAAAUUACUUAUUGUUAAUUAUUAUUAGGUAUUUAGUAUGAUCAUUCUAAUUAGGUGCCAUAAAAGCUGUGAUUCAUAAAUAAUAAUAAUUAGAUUAUUAAUA